UUCAGUUUACUCAGUAUUAUUGUCUGAAACCGAUUCAAACUAGCUGAAUCAUUGUCAAUAUUAGAAGCAUACAGGUUAAAAAAAUCACAAAGUUUAUAAAUAGGAGAACUUUUAUCAAUGUUGAUUCGUGGAUAAACAGUUUAAAACAGAAGCCUCUCUGGGGAUAUAUCCCAAAUUCCAGCAGCAGUUACGACAAUACUAGAAUUACAGAAGAAAAGUUUGCAAUGGUUACAGGAAAUUCUAAAGAGCUCGCCAAUUUUCACCUUGAGACUGUGUUUAAAAAUGCAUGUUUUAUAGCAUAAUAUACAGUUCGAAUACAUGUUUCAUAACUUUAACUUUUUGCAGGAUGUUACUUUACUCUUAGGGUAGGCUACCGAGAGGCUUCCCUUACGGUGUGGGCUCGAACUUCUAGAAAAACAAGGCCCUUCAACUGCUGUCAGGUAUAUUAAUGAAAUUCUGCAAGAUUAUGUUGUUUGUUAUGUGGAAAUAAUUUUAUUCUGAUGCUUGAUAACGCCAAGCCCCCACAUCACUAUAAUUACUCAAGAAUAUGUUAAAUAAACUAUGUACAUUCCUAGAGAGGAAUACCACUGCUGUUAAGUCCAGCUGCAAAUCCAAUUGAAAAUGUUUGGGACAUACUUGGGCGAACACUACGAGGUUGCGUUCUUGCUCCUUUAACCUUAAAGAAAUAACAAUACUCUCUUUUAGAGGAAUGGAACUUUAUUUUUUUAAAAGACAUUUCUCAUAUGAUUUACUAAUCUUAAGAAAAAUACAAGCAAUCAUUCGGGCAUGUGGAGGCAACACACAAUAUUAAAAAGGCUCUGCGCAUCUUUUGAUAGCAAUAUGUUUCAUUUUUCAAUAGUUGAAGGCCUUUGAAAAAACUACCCAUUUCUUUGUAUUUUCGUAAUGUUUUAAUAAAAAAAUUUCAAAUAAA